rnacentral:misc_RNA from 1 species
GGAUAAGACUUUGGUCUUAGUAUAAGUGUAGGCGAGUUUUUGAUUGGAAAGGAAAGUAAAGGAGCAAUAACCAACACUCUUAAUAGAAUAAUAAAUUGGUUAUUGUUCCUUUUUUUAUUGCUCUUUUCUUUACAUAAGUUUUUCUUUACUUGAACAUAAGAAAAAGUUCCCUAGUCUUAGGGAUUGGUUUAUGAUUGCGUAUCAUACUUUUUUUUUCCUUAGAUAUGAAUUUUUAAUUUAUAUACMUUCUUUUCAACCCUUUGUAAGGCUUUGUGAUAUUAUUAUYUUCUAGUUUUUUUUUCGAAUAAAAUAGAAAAGUUARAAUUUUCUGCUUCUUCUAUCUCAUAAGUAAGAUAAAAAAAUGUUAAAAAUUAACAAUUGAAAUGAAAUAUUUUCCCUUAUGAAUUUUUUUUUUAUUUUUUUAAAAAUGGAAUAAAAAUAAAUAGAAAUCCUCGUAAUGUAGGGGCG